GGUAGCGCCAAAGCGCCAUCUAGUGGCCAUUAGCGGGUGGACUGGAAGUGAUUGCGCAUGAGAAAUGCGCGUGAUACAAACGGCUGCAUUCUCCACAGGAAGACUGUUCAAGAAGUCGCGGUGCAGUGUUCGUGUUUAACAUUAAUAACGGUGUACGUCCUUAUGAGAAAACUACACUAAUACACUCAAGCCCAAAAUGUUAACCUACCAUGUCCAUUAAUAUAAGCUGAGAGGCAACUACUACAUUCAAAUCUGCACCUGUAAUUGAUGUCUAAUGUAUGUCUGUGCUGCUGAAGAAAGUUGAGUAAAACGUUCAAUCUGA